rnacentral:misc_RNA from 1 species
AUGCGAUAAGUAAUGUGAAUUGCAGAAUUCAGUGAAUCAUCGAAUCUUUGAACGCACAUUGCGCCCGCUAGUAUUCUGGCGGGCAUGCCUGUUCGAGCGUCAUUUCAACCAUCAAGCCCUAGGCUUGUGUUGGAGCCCUGCGGCUGUCCGCAGCCUCCUAAAAGCAGUGGCGGGCUCGCUAUCACACCGAGUGCAGUAGUUUACUCUUCGCUUAGGGCGUGUGGCGAGUUCCGGCCGUGAAAUCCCCUAUUUCUAAAGGUUGACCUCGGAUCAGGUAGGAAUACCCGCUGAACUUAA